UACAAGCAUCGCAGUCUGUACUCACAUGUUGAGGGACUUGGCUGCCUCGUAGACACCAACCGUAAUGCAGCCCUGAGGCAAGGCAGAGAACUCACCCCAACUGCCGGUCCAGAACGGCUAUAACCUUCAGCACAGCCUCAUAGCAACGGGACGCUUCCCGGAAGACCUGUCCUCUGAUUGGUCUGUCGUGGAGAAUGCGAAUCCCCUCCCGGAAGCAGCGCGCGAGAUACAAGGUACUGGCGCGAGAGUGACCGGAAGAUGGAGCUGAGCUCAAAGAAAACUGAAAACACAAAACUUCGAAACAUGUGGAAAAACCGGCUCAAUAAAACCCAUUCUGCAAUAUG